rnacentral:rRNA from 1 species
CGACGCCGCGUGGGGAGUGAAGCUUUUCGGUAGUGUAAACCCCUUUCCGACCCGGACGAAUGCCCCGCCAAGGGGACUGACGGUACGGGUAUAAGAAGCCCCGGCUAACUACGUGC